rnacentral:rRNA from 1 species
UGAAACCGUGUGCUUACAAGUAGUCAGAGCCCGUUAAUGGGUGAUGGCGUGCCUUUUGUAGAAUGAACCGGCGAGUUACGAUUUGAUGCAAGGUUAAGCAGUAAAUGUGGAGCCGUAGCGAAAGCGAGUCUGAAUAGGGCGUUUAGUAUUUGGUCGUAGACCCGAAACCAGGUGAUCUACCCUUGGUCAGGUUGAAGUUCAGGUAACACUGAAUGGAGGACCGAACCGACUUACGUUGAAAAGUGAGCGGAUGAACUGAGGGUAGCGGAGAAAUUCCAAUCGAACCUGGAGAUAGCUGGUUCUCUCCGAAAUAGCUUUAGGGCUAGCCUCAAGUGAUGAUUAUUGGAGGUAGAGCACUGUUUGGACGAGGGGCCCCUCUCGGGUUACCGAAUUCAGACAAACUCCGAAUGCCAAUUAAUUUAACUUGGGAGUCAGAACAUGGGUGAUAAGGUCCGUGUUCGAAAGGGAAACAGCCCAGACCACCAGCUAAGGUCCCAAAAUAUAUGUUAAGUGGAAAAGGAUGUGGCGUUGCCCAGACAACUAGGAUGUUGGCUUAGAAGCAGCCAUCAUUUAAAGAGUGCGUAAUAGCUCACUAGUCGAGUGACACUGCGCCGAAAAUGUACCGGGGCUAAACAUAUUACCGAAGCUGUGGAUUGUCCUUUGGACAAUGGUAGGAGAGCGUUCUAAGGGCGUUGAAGCAUGAUCGUAAGGACAUGUGGAGCGCUUAGAAG